rnacentral:tRNA from 3 species
GCCCUUGUAGCUCAGCGGUAGAGCACUCCCUUGGUAAGGGAGAGGCCCUAAGUUCAUGUCUAGGCGAGGUUA